AGAGUUUGAUCCUGGCUCAGGAUGAACGCUAGCGGCAGGCUUAACACAUGCAAGUCGAGGGGCAUCAGGGGGUAGCAAUACCCCGCUGGCGACCGGCGGAUGGGUGCGUAACGCGUAUGCAACCUGCCCGUAACCGGAGGAUAACCCGCCGAAAGGCGGACUAAAAAUCCAUAAGACCCCGCUGCGGCAUCGCAGCGGGGUAAAAUCUGCGGAGGUUGCGGAUGGGCAUGCGUGCCAUUAGGUAGUUGGUGAGGCAACGGCUCACCAAGCCUACGAUGGCUAGGGGGUCUGAGAGGAUGGUCCCCCACACUGGAACUGAGACACGGUCCAGACUCCUACGGGAGGCAGCAGUGAGGAAUAUUGGUCAAUGGGCGGAAGCCUGAACCAGCCAUGCCGCGUGCAGGAAGACGGCCCUAUGGGUUGUAAACUGCUUUUGCAGAGGAGUAAAGUGACGUACGUGUACGUUAUUGCAAGUACUUUGCGAAUAAGCAUCGGCUAACUCCGUGCCAGCAGCCGCGGUAAUACGGAGGAUGCGAGCGUUAUCCGGAUUUAUUGGGUUUAAAGGGUGCGUAGGCGGGCUGAUAAGUCAGCGGUGAAAUGUACCGGCUUAACCGGUGAACUGCCAUUGAUACUGUCGGUCUUGAGUGCAGAUGAGGUAGGCGGAAUGUGUGGUGUAGCGGUGAAAUGCAUAGAUAUCACACAGAACACCGAUUGCGAAGGCAGCUUACUAAGGUGCCACUGACGCUGAGGCACGAAAGUGUGGGGAUCAAACAGGAUUAGAUACCCUGGUAGUCCACACUGUAAACGAUGAUAACUGGAUGUUUGCGAUACACUGCAAGCGUCUGAGCGAAAGCAUUAAGUUAUCCACCUGGGGAGUACGUCGGCAACGAUGAAACUCAAAGGAAUUGACGGGGGCCCGCACAAGCGGAGGAACAUGUGGUUUAAUUCGAUGAUACGCGAGGAACCUUACCCGGGCUCGAACGGCGGAGGAAUGGCGUGGAAACGCGUCAGCCGGCAACGGUCUCCGUCGAGGUGCUGCAUGGUUGUCGUCAGCUCGUGCCGUGAGGUGUCGGCUUAAGUGCCAUAACGAGCGCAACCCUUACCUUCAGUUGCCAGCGGGUGAAGCCGGGGACUCUGGAGGGACUGCCAGCGUAAGCUGAGAGGAAGGUGGGGAUGACGUCAAAUCAGCACGGCCCUUACGUCCGGGGCGACACACGUGUUACAAUGGGGGAUACAGAGGGUAGCUACCCGGCGACGGGAUGCCAAUCUCGAAAGUCCUUCUCAGUUCGGAUCGGAGUCUGCAACUCGACUCCGUGAAGUUGGAUUCGCUAGUAAUCGCGCAUCAGCCAUGGCGCGGUGAAUACGUUCCCGGGCCUUGUACACACCGCCCGUCAAGCCAUGGAAGCCGGGGGUACCUGAAGUGCAUAACCGCGAGGAGCGCCCUAAGGUAAUACUGGUGACUGGGGCUAAGUCGUAACAAGGUAGCC
rnacentral:rRNA from 1 species